AUUGCUAUGACAUUGAAGUGACAGGUAUUCCACCUGUCACCGGGUGAGUGGUCAAACGUGGAUUAAUAGAAAACGUACCUAGUUAUGCUUAUGUCUGCGAAUCUUAAAUUGAAUAAUCAUAUACUAAAUGCUCUACUAUUAAUAUUGGUGAAUAUUCUGUGCAAACCAGUAAUUUAUAUUGAAUUCCUACCGGAGGCACCUGAACUGUACCGCGACUCCUUUGUUUCAAGCUCUUCCAAGAGCCUAUUGUUCAUCAAAACCGGACUAUCCCUAGAAUUGCUAUAGCUCACCACGAAAUUAUAAGAGGGAACUAAAC